UACGUAGGGGGCAAGCGUUGUCCGGAAUCAUUGGGCGUAAAGCGCGUGUAGGCGGCUCGAUAAGUCUGCUGUGAAAGUUCAGGGCUCAACCCUGAAAUGCCGGUGGAAACUGUCGAGCUAGAGUACGGAAGAGGUGAGUGGAAUUCCUGGUGUAGCGGUGAAAUGCGCAGAUAUCAGGAGGAACACCAAUGGCGAAGGCGGCUCUCUGGAACGCAACUGACGCUGAGACGCGAAAGCGUGGGGAGCAAACAGG
rnacentral:rRNA from 1 species